rnacentral:rRNA from 1 species
GACGAACGCUGGCGGCGUGCUUAACACAUGCAAGUCGAACGCGCCUGUCCUCUGGGUUUCUGGGGGGUGGGUGAGUGGCGAACGGGUGAGUAACACGUGAGUAACCUGCCCCCUUCUUCGGGAUAACGGUCUGAAAGGGCUGCUAAUACCGGGUAUUCACUGGUCUCCGCAUGGGGUCUGGUGGAAAGGUUUUUUUCUGGUGGGGGAUGGGCUCGCGGCCUAUCAGCUUGUUGGUGGGGUGAUGGCCCACCAAGGCUUUGACGGGUAGCCGGCCUGAGAGGGUGACCGGGCACAUUGGGACUGAGAUACGGCCCAGACUCCUACGGGAGGCAGCAGUGGGGAAUAUUGCACAAUGGGCGCAAGCCUGAUGCAGCGACGCCGCGUGAGGGAUGGAGGCCUUCGGGUUGUGAACCUCUUUCGCCCGUGGUCAAGCCGCGACGUGGGUCGUGGUGAGGGUAGUGGGUAAAGAAGCGCCGGCUAACUACGUG